GUUUAACAUGGAUAUUUUUCUUAUUUUUUCUUUAAUAUUUUUUUUAUUUGUUUUGUUUGUUCGCUAAGAAAAUAUAGGAGAUUUACUGGUUAGUUGUUUCAUCGUCCAUGUCUCUUAUUGGUUUGUUUAAGGUGUUCUGUCCCUGUGGAGGUUGAUAUGAUAAACUAGAGUUAGUACUUCAGUUAGAGCUCUAGAUUUUUAGUGAUUUCAUCGUCUAUUUCUCUUAUUGGUCUGUUUAAGGUGUUUUGGUCUGUUUAAGGUGUUUUCUCCCUGUGUAGGUUGAUAUGAUAAACUAGGGUAGUACUUCAGUUAGAGCUAUAGAAUUUUAGUGAUUUCCCCAUGUAUUAUUUUGGGUGGUUUCGAGCAUAUAUCAGGUUUCACAGUUCAAUCUAAGAAUUUGAUUGCAAGUUGGAAACAAAAUUAGGGGAAUAGCUUGUAGGUAGCUUCAUAUUGUGAUUAUUGAUAAGUGUGCACAAAUGACUUAGAUGGUCAGAGCUACAUGCUAUUUGAUGUUUCCGUACUUCAUUUCCCUGGCCAUCCCUGAGAAUUUGUUCUCUACUUGCUUUCUGAAUAACUGGAAAAGCUUCUUUUGAAGGGUAAAAGGAAAAGAAAUGAUUUGGUCUGUUAGUUCCCAUGGAAAGAAACAACUUGAGUCAAUAAUUUGACGUAGUCAUUUAUCUUGAAAGAGUUCUCAAAGAAUAAAUCAGUUAUGCUUAAUGGGUAAGGUUGGUUUAUUUAGAAUCUAAUUUGACUGACACUAUCAUUUGGUUCACGAUGAUGAAGGGAAAAUGGACUGAUUGAAACA
rnacentral:misc_RNA from 1 species